GCCUUAUAUCGAGGAUCCUAACACGGGGGUCAAGAUGUUCGAAAGCGCUGAGAUCGUUGAGUACCUGAGGGCAACAUAUUCACUCUAUCCUCAGUACCAAAAUCUCUGAAGCGUUGAUAUAUAGUAUGGAUUUAGAAUAUAUCCUUUACAAUUAACAGCGGAGUCCCAAAUGUAAUGUAGAAGUUGUAUUCAGUUGUCACCCUUUGAGAUUUUUUAUGGUGGUGCGGAACCAUGUGGUGAUGAAAUUUUGUAGCAUGGAAAACAUGUUGGAUUUGUGAUGCAAAGGAAGACAUAUGUAAUGUGUGGAAUUAUACAUAAGCAAAUAAGGUAGUAGAAGAUAGAUUUUUUUUUUUUUUUGCAGAGAGAAACUAGAAGUACUUUUUUUUGUAGAGAAAACUAGAAAUACUUUGAAGAGACGAUGUUCAUGAAUUACAAGGAAUACCAGUGUUAAUUGAAGUUGAGGAUCUCAGUUGGAAAUACACGUGUCCAACGUUAUACUGUGAAGUUGUAAUCUAAUAACCAGUAAGAUGAACAAAAAUUUGGGGCGUGACAUGACAAAAUUAUCAUACUACAUGGUAAUUCAAGAUAAAACUAGCCACUCAAAUGCACGAGCCAUAUGGCCUGCACCCAAAUUAUUAU
rnacentral:lncRNA from 1 species